GAUGAAGAACGCAGCGAAAUGCGAUAAGUAGUGUGAAUUGCAGAAUUCCGUGAAUCAUCGAAUCUUUGAACGCACAUUGCGCCUUCUGGUAUUCCGGAAGGCAUGCCUGUUCGAGAGUCAUUAACAACCGUUUCGAUCCCUUUCUUUCAGAAAUUACAAAGAGGAAAAGGGUUUGGUUAUGGUGGAGGAGGGAAAGGGAGCGUUUAGCCUGUAAAAAAAGAGGCUGUGUUCCGCCUCCCCCCCAAAAUUGUACAGGCGGUCGUGUGCGCCCACGCAUCGAGGUGUUGUAAAAGCUGCCACGGCACUUUUCACCUGUGCAGUGCGAGAUUGGCCAGCCGGUUUAAAAACCCCUCCAAACAAUCAACGGUUGACCUCGGAUCAGGUAGGGAUACCCGCUGAACUUAAGCAUAUCAAUAAGCGGAGGA
rnacentral:misc_RNA from 1 species